rnacentral:rRNA from 1 species
UAGGGAAUCUUCGGCAAUGGACGGAAGUCUGACCGAGCAACGCCGCGUGAGUGAAGAAGGUUUUCGGAUCGUAAAGCUCUGUUGUUAGAGAAGAACGUUGGUAGGAGUGGAAAAUCUACCAAGUGACGGUAACUAACCAGAAAGGGACGGCUAACUACGUGCCAGCAGCCGCGGUAAUACGUAGGUCCCGAUCGUUGUUCGGAUUUAUUGGGCGUCAAGCGAGCGCAGGCGGUUCUUUAAGUCUGAAGUUAAAGGCAGUGGCUUAACCAUUGUACGCUUUGGAAACUGGAGGACUUGAGUGCAGAAGGGGAGAGUGGAAUUCCAUGUGUGACGGUGAAAUGCGUAGAUAUAUGGAGGAACACCGGUGGCGAAAGCGGCUCUCUGGUCUGUAACUGACGAUGAGGCUCGAAAGCGUGGGGAGCAAACAGG